AUACCAUUUGGAAACAGAUGCUAAUACCGGAUAAAAGCUACUUUCGCAUGAAAGAAGUUUAAAAGGCGGCGUAAGCUGUCGCUAAAGUAUGGACCUGCGAUGCAUUAGCUAGUUGGUAAGGUAACGGCUUACCAAGGCGAUGAUGCAUAGCCGAGUUGAGAGACUGAUCGGCCACAUUGGGACUGAGACACGGCCCAAACUCCUACGGGAGGCAGCAGCA
rnacentral:rRNA from 1 species